GCUCUGUUGGUCUAGUGGUAUGAUUCUCGCUUAGGGUGCGAGAGGUCCCGCGUUCGAUCCGCGGAUAGAGCC
rnacentral:tRNA from 1 species